rnacentral:lncRNA from 1 species
AAAAUAAAGAGGAAUGAAGUGAUUUUCGACAAUGAUCACUACAACAAAAACGGUCUAUAGUGACACUUUUAAAUAUAGGUACAUGUCAAAAAAGUGCUGCUAGCUAAAAUUACCGACACUUUUAAAAAGUGUUGCUAUAUGUGGGGUCGCUAGGUAUAUAGUGACAGUUAAAGAGUGUCGCUAUAACCUAAAAGAGUGCUGCUAAUUUACCAACACUUAUUUAAGCAUUUAGCAACCGCCGAAACACUAUCUCGUUGGCUGCGGUGGCGGAGGAGGACGACAGGAAAGGCUCUUCGUCUAGAAUGAGUGAAGAGAGAAGAAAAUAUGGUAAUUAAUUUUUCUUUUUUUUUUCUGUUUGUAAUCGGGCCAAAUGGACUGGAUGUGGUGGGUUGAGUAGAGUAAUCUUUUAUUUUUGGUUGGAUUGGGCUUUAUAUUUAGGCAUUAGUAGAUGUUUUUUUUAAGUUUUAAGAUAAAUGGGACACUUACUCAACAGUGUCCCAAACAUGUGUCUCUAUAACCUAAUUCUGUUGUAGUGAAUAUAUAUCACUUUUACUUGAAACUCAAGUUUUUUAAAAUAGUGUAAUUAAUUUUAACCCAUCGUAAGUCAAAGUCAAUUACAAGAAAAAUAAAAAAAAAAAAGAGUAAACUUUAAGUACCACCCCCUGUGGUCUCGCACGUUCCCACUUUAGUGCCCUAUAAUUUAAAGUUUAUCAUAUUAGUGUCCUGUGGUUUUAUUUUUAUCUUUUCGUCAGAUUUUCCGUUGAUAUUUCGUUAAAUUAUAUACAAAAAACUUCAAAUACUCCAUCUAGGUUUAUCGAAUAUUCAUUUUACUACCUUUUAGUUUUAACUUUUGUCACUGAUUUAACGAAAAAAAUUAGUGCAAUCAAUAAUAAAAAGAUAAAAAUAAAACCACAUGGUACUAAAUUGAUACACUUUAAAUCACAGGGUACUAAAGUGAGAAAGUGUGAAACCACAGAAGUGAUAUUUGAAUUUUUUUCAAAAAAACUGAGAAAAAAAAAUAUAUAUUAAUUCAUCUCUCGCACCUUCAGUUUUUACGCAAUUUACUUUCUAGUAAUAAAUAGCUGAGUUACAUGAGUUACUAAGCUAUACAAAGAAAUAAUGAAGAGAAAAUAAUUUUUAACUGAAGUCAACUUUACUCGGAAGUCUACUUCAACCUAGCUAAACUUUACGUUCGGUAAAACAAACAGACUUUUGUUAUAUUUAUGCUUAGAUAUAUAAGAUGAAAGCCCAACCACCAUGUUAUAAUCUAUUUUUAGCCCCCGUUUAUUUGUUAAGAGUUAUUUAAUACUAUUGAGUCAAAAUACUCUUGCGACUUUCGGUGGAACAGUAAAAAUUAUCAUAAUCGAAUAAUUGCUAUAUAUAUAUACAUGUUGUGAUGUUCUUUUUAUAAAAAUAAAUAAAAUAUUUUUCAUCAUACUUUUUCAUCAUACAUAACAUGUUGUGAUGUUCUUUUUAUAAAAAUAAAUAAAAUAUUUUUCAUCAUACUUUUUCAUCAUACAUAACAUGUUGUGAUGUUCUUUUUAUAAAAAUAAAUAAAAUAUUUUACAUCAUACUUUUUCAUCGUACAUAACGUAUAAUCUUUAUAUAAUACUCAAU